rnacentral:rRNA from 1 species
AACGAACGCUGGCGGCAUGCCUAACACAUGCAAGUCGAACGGCAGCGCGGGGCAACCUGGCGGCGAGUGGCGAACGGGUGAGUAACAUAUCGGAACAUACCCUAGAGUGGGGGAUAACGUAGCGAAAGUUACGCUAAUACCGCAUACGCACUAAGGUGGAAAGUGGGGGAUCUUCGGACCUCAUGCUCAUGGAGUGGCCGAUAUCUGAUUAGCUAGUUGGUGAGGUAAAGGCUCACCAAGGCGACGAUCAGUAGCUGGUUUGAGAGAACGACCAGCCACACUGGAACUGAGACACGGUCCAGACUCCUACGGGAGGCAGCAGUGGGGAAUUUUGGGACAAGUGGGGGCAACCCGUGAUCCAGCAAUGCCGCGUGCAGGAAGAAGGCC